UACGUAGGGGGCAAUCGUUGUCCGGAUUUACUGGGCGUAAAGAGCGUGUAGGCGGCCAAGCAGGUCCGUUGUGAAAACUGGAGGCUUAACCUCCAGACGUCGACGGAAACCGCGUGGCUAGAGUCCGGAAGAGGAGAGUGGAAUUCCUGGUGUAGCGGUGAAAUGCGCAGAUAUCAGGAAGAACACCAAUGGCGAAGGCAGCUCUCUGGGACGGUACUGACGCUGAGACGCGAAAGCGUGGGGAGCAAACAGG
rnacentral:rRNA from 1 species